rnacentral:rRNA from 1 species
GAUGAACGCUGGCGGCGUGCCUAAUACAUGCAAGUCGAGCGAACGGACGAGAAGCUUGCUUUUCUGAUGUUAGCGGCGGACGGGUGAGUAACACGUGGAUAACCUACCUAUAAGACUGGGAUAACUUCGGGAAACCGGAGCUAAUACCGGAUAAUAUUUUGAACCGCAUGGUUCAAAAGUGAAAGACGGUCUUGCUGUCACUUAUAGAUGGAUCCGCGCUGCAUUAGCUAGUUGGUAAGGUAACGGCUUACCAAGGCAACGAUGCAUAGCCGACCUGAGAGGGUGAUCGGCCACACUGGAACUGAGACACGGUCCAGACUCCUACGGGAGGCAGCAGUAGGGAAUCUUCCGCAAUGGGCGAAAGCCUGACGGAGCAACGCCGCGUGAGUGAUGAAGGUCUUCGGAUCGUAAAACUCUGUUAUUAGGGAAGAACAUAUGUGUAAGUAACUGUGCACAUCUUGACGGUACCUAAUCAGAAAGCCACGGCUAACUACGUGCCAGCAGCCGCGGUAAUACGUAGGUGGCAAGCGUUAUCCGGAAUUAUUGGGCGUAAAGCGCGCGUAGGCGGUUUUUUAAGUCUGAUGUGAAAGCCCACGGCUCAACCGUGGAGGGUCAUUGGAAACUGGAAAACUUGAGUGCAGAAGAGGGAAGUGGAAUUCCAUGUGUAGCGGUGAAAUGCGCAGAGAUGUGGAGGAACACCAGUGGCGAAGGCGACUUUCUGGUCUGUAACUGACGCUGAUGUGCGAAAGCGUGGGGAUCAAACAGGAUUAGAUACCCUGGUAGUCCACGCCGUAAACGAUGAGUGCUAAGUGUUAGGGGGUUUCCGCCCCUUAGUGCUGCAGCUAACGCAUUAAGCACUCCGCCUGGGGAGUACGACCGCAAGGUUGAAACUCAAAGGAAUUGACGGGGGCCCGCACAAGCGGUGGAGCAUGUGGUUUAAUUCGAAGCAACGCGAAGAACCUUACCAAAUCUUGACAUCCUUUGACAACUCUAGAGAUAGAGCCUUCCCCUUCGGGGGACAAAGUGACAGGUGGUGCAUGGUUGUCGUCAGCUCGUGUCGUGAGAUGUUGGGUUAAGUCCCGCAACGAGCGCAACCCUUAAGCUUAGUUGCCAUCAUUAAGUUGGGCACUCUAAGUUGACUGCCGGUGACAAACCGGAGGAAGGUGGGGAUGACGUCAAAUCAUCAUGCCCCUUAUGAUUUGGGCUACACACGUGCUACAAUGGACAAUACAAAGGGCAGCGAAACCGCGAGGUCAAGCAAAUCCCAUAAAGUUGUUCUCAGUUCGGAUUGUAGUCUGCAACUCGACUACAUGAAGCUGGAAUCGCUAGUAAUCGUAGAUCAGCAUGCUACGGUGAAUACGUUCCCGGGUCU